GACGGAGGGUGCGAGCGUUGUUCGGAUUGACUGGGCGUAAAGGGCGUGUAGGCGGUUGGUCAAGUCUGGUGUGAAAGCCCGGGGCUUAACUCCGGAAGUGCACUGGAAACUAGCCAGCUAGAGCGCGAGAGAGGAGGGUGGAAUUCCUGGUGUAGCGGUGAAAUGCGUAGAUAUCAGGAGGAACACCGGCGGCGAAGGCGGCCCUCUGGCUCGUUGCUGACGCUGAAACGCGAAAGCGUGGGGAGCAAAC
rnacentral:rRNA from 1 species